rnacentral:lncRNA from 1 species
CUUUCCAAGAAGUUUCCUUUGACUUCACCUCAUCCCACCUUGACCAUAGGGUUGGUCAUCCACUCCUUUGCAUACCCACAGCACACUGUGCACGGUCCUUUGUAGCCCCCACCACACUGAUUUGUAAUACUCCAUUUUCCUGAUCUGUCUGUAGACACACUGGGAGGUUCUGGCCUGUGGAGGUGCCCGUCAAGGUUUGAGCGAGGGAGAUGACAAAGAAGUGAAUGCAGGAACCAUCACUGGCAACUCGAGCAAAGGCCCUCCAUUCAGUCCUUACGUCACUGAAUCUUCCCAGGGGCCCAGUGAACCAUGACUGAUGCUCACCCUCAUUUGCAGAAUUGUCUUGAGCAGAAGAUCCUGGGAACAUGGUGGCCACCUAGGGAUUUAGGGAAGCCACUCUAGCACUCUGGCAUUGAUUGUCCUGGCAGGAGACAGAUGACAUCAGUUACUGGAGUUCCCGGCUACAAUGGAGAUACGGCCAAGAUGUUUCUCCGUCACACACUCCACUACUUAGCUGCCCUCCCUGACAGUCAUUUCC